AUAUACCUUCGGGGCAGGGUGAGUAUACAAAGUUUACCAUACAAUUCCCUACCGGCGGUAAGGGGCAUCCCCCUGGGACACCCAAAGCCCUGCAGAUCCGGUGUAAAUCCGGAGCCGACGGUACAGUCCGGAUAGAAGAAGGUUCUU
rnacentral:ncRNA from 2 species